rnacentral:rRNA from 1 species
UACGAAGGGGGCUAGCGUUGUUCGGAAUCACUGGGCGUAAAGGGCGCGUAGGCGGCUUUGUAAGUCGGGGGUGAAAGCCUGUGGCUCAACCACAGAAUUGCCUUCGAUACUGCAUGGCUUGAGACCGGAAGAGGUAAGUGGAACUGCGAGUGUAAAGGUGAAAUUCGUAGAUAUUCGCAAGAACACCAGUGGCGAAGGCGGCUUACUGGUCCGGAUCUGACGCUGAGGCGCGAAAGCGUGGGGAGCAAACAGG